rnacentral:sRNA from 1 species
GGACCAGGGACUACAAACUCACCUUCAGGGCUCCUAAGCUGCUGCGGAGCUAGACGGCGGGCUGUGGGUGGGGAGGAGACUAGAAUAUUCUGAGACGGGGUCAGGUGGGAGUUGGGAGAGGUAACGUGGAGUUGCUGCCCAAGAUGCAGCUCAGCUCCAGUGGCCACACCAAGACGGUUUAAGACCGAGAGCGGAACCAGGGAGGUUGUUUUUGGUGGCUGGGGGCUUGGGUUUGAGUUCCUUGAACAGCAGAGGGUGCUUGGAUUUAGGGAGGCUCUAAUUGCCUGGACGAAGAACCCCGAGCUGUCUGGCCGGCCUUUCACAGUAUCCGACCGGGGCGUCCUGGACCGCCGCCAGCUCUAUCUGACCACCUCGGCGCGGGACUUUCGGUUCUAUCCCAAGACGGAGCUGUCCGGAUACCCCCGCAAGGACUCCCUGACCUACUGGAGCUUCGAAGAGACGCCCCAGGUCUGGAGCCACGGCCCGCAGCGGCCG